CAAGGUUUAGAGGUGGAUGUUUCCAGUCAGAGAAAAGGAAACUGUGGAAGAAAGCCAAAGGACACCAAUCUAGAGCAAAUCCCGACCAUCCCACUGAACAAGAGGUCUAGUAUCAGAUCACUAGCUUGGCAGCUAGGAUGUAGCCCUACCACACUCCAUAGAAAGUUCAUGCUGAAGUUGAUAAGUAGGCAUACAAACUAUGUGAAGCCAGUUCUGAAGGAAAAAAAAGAAGGAUAG
rnacentral:rRNA from 1 species